rnacentral:lncRNA from 1 species
UCCGGCAAACAGCCGCCCCUCCCCCCGCGCACACACCCCGCACACUCACUUGUCUUGCACUCACGGUCUCUCGCACCUCGCACGCACACUCACUCUCGCACACACCCAGUCUCACGCUUGCGCCCCCCCCACACACUCACACACCUCGCAGCCAGUCUCACACUUAUCUCACACACCCGUCUUGCAUACUCUCACACACACAUGCACACGCACCUCACACCCAGUCUUACACUUAUUCUCAUACACACACACACACACACACACACACACACAGUCUCACCCCCCCAUUGUCUUAAUACUCUUACACAUCCCCCACACCCCCCCCACACUCACCCUCACACUGUCACACACACACACUCACCGUCUCACAUACUCACACGUCCCCCACACUCUCCCCCCCCCAAAGUUCCCCCUGUGCCAACAUGCGCAUUCAAAGUGAAGGGGGGGGGGCUUGUCCCUGCCCGCGUAGGGGCGUGCGCCCACCUGCUGCGAUCUAGGUGGCUCCCUCCCACCAGCGAUGCACCCCUGAAGUGCAUGUAG